ACGCUCGACACCUAUGGGAGGCAGCAGUGGGGGAUAUUGCACAAUGGGGGAAACCCUGAUGCAGCGACGCCGCGUGAGCGAAGAAGUAUUUCGGUAUGUAAAGCUCUAUCAGCAGGGAAGAAACUGACGGUACCUGACUAAGAAGCACCGGCUAAAUACGUGCCAGCAGCCACGGUAAUCUGAGCGGGCUGGCAAGGC
rnacentral:rRNA from 1 species